rnacentral:rRNA from 1 species
GGUUUAAUUCGAAGCAACGCGAAGAACCUUACCAGGUCUUGACAUCUUCUGACAAUUCCAGAGAUGGAACGUUCUUCGGGGACAGAAUGACAGGUGGUGCAUGGUUGUCGUCAGCUCGUGUCGUGAGAUGUUGGGUUAAGUCCCGCAACGAGCGCAACCCUUAUUGUCAGUUGCCAUCAUUAAGUUGGGCACUCUGGCGAGACUGCCGGUGACAAACCGGA